UUUAAAGAAAGCGUAAUAGCUCACUGGUCAAGCGAACCUGCGCCGAAAAUAUAACGGGGCUCAAGAUCGACACCGAAGACGCGGGCUUCUUAGGAAGCGGUAGAGGAGUACUCUGACGCAGAUACACGCUGGACGGAAACGACCGGUACCGGGCGUCAGAGGAGCUUAUGCAGGCAUGAGUAGCGAUAAACCGAGUGAGAAACUCGGUCGCCGUAAGUCCAAGGUUUCCUGGGGUAGGAUAAUCCUCCCAAGGGUGAGCCGGUCCCUAAGUCGAGGCCGCGAGGCGUAGAUGAUGGAAAGCAGGUUAAUAUUCCUGCGCCAGACAGGGUGGCAUUGAAGUGAGCGGGGACGGAGUAGGAUAGCUGAGCACCGUGAAUGGAUCGGUGUUUAAGCCUGUAGGUGUUUCCCGUAGGAGUCGAUAGACACAAACGCGGGGAAGAGUAGCCGAGAGGUGAUGAGGCGGUUCUUCGGAGCCGAAACUCAGUGAUUCCAGACUUCCAAGAAAAGCCGCGCACAGAGCCUCUUGUUUGACCGUACUGCAAACCGACUCAGGUGGACGGGAAGAAUAUUCCAAGGCGCGUGAGAGAACCCUGGUUAAGGAACUCGGCAAAUUGACACCGUAACUUCGGGAGAAGGUGUGCCUUUGCGCGUGAAGGAGAACAUCCGGAGCGUGCGGAGGUCGCAGAGAAUCGGGGGUUGUGACUGUUUACUAAAAACCUAGCACUCUGCGAAGUCGCAAGACGACGUAUAGGGUGUGAUGCCUGCCCGGUGCUGGAAGGUUAAGGGGAAUUGUCAGCGCAAGCGAAGCAAUGAACCGAAGCCCCAGUAAACGGCGGCCGUAACUAUAACGGUCCUAAGGUAGCGAAAUUCCUUGUCGGGUAAGUUCCGACCUGCACGAAUGGCAUAACAACAUCCCCGCUGUCUCGACCAGGGACUCAGCGAAAUUGUAUUGGGGGUGAAGAUACCCUCUACCCGUGGCAAGACGGAAAGACCCCAUGAACCUUUACUGCAACUUGGCAGUGAAUUUCGGGGCAAUCUGCGUAGGAUAGGUGGGAGACUUUGAUGUCGGGCUUCCGGGUUCGGCGGAGUCACCGUUGAAAUACCACCCUGAUUGCUCUGGGAUUCUAACCUGCGUCCGUCAUCCGGACGAGGGACACUGCCUGGUGGGCAGUUUGACUGGGGCGGUCGCCUCCAAAAACGUAACGGAGGCGUGCGAAGGUUCCCUCAGGUUGAUUGGAAACCAACCGUAGAGUGCAAACGCACAAGGGAGCUUAACUGUGAGACCGACAGGUCGAACAGGUGCGAAAGCAGGCGUUAGUGAUCCGGUGGUCCCGCAUGGAAGGGCCAUCGCUCAUCGGAUAAAAGGUACUCUGGGGAUAACAGGCUGAUCGCGCCUGAGAGUUCACAUCGGCGGCGCGGUUUGGCACCUCGAUGUCGGC
rnacentral:rRNA from 1 species